UGGGGAAUCUUCCGCAAUGGACGAAAGUCUGACGGAGCAACGCCGCGUGAGUGAAGAAGGCCUUCGGGUUGUAAAGCUCUGUUAUUCGGGAAGAACGAUUCGUUUGUGAACAAUGAACGGAAGUGACGGUACCGAAAGAGAAAGCCACGGCUAACUACGUGCCAGCAGCCGCGGUAAUACGUAGGUGGCAAGCGUUGUCCGGAAUUAUUGGGCGUAAAGAGCGCGUAGGCGGUAUGAUAAGUCUGUCUUAGAAGUGCGGGGCUUAACCCCGUGAGGGGACAGAGACUGUCAUACUAGAGUCUCGGAGAGGAAAGCGGAAUUCCUAGUGUAGCGGUGAAAUGCGUAGAGAUUAGGAAGAACACCGGUGGCGAAGGCGGCCCCCUGGACAAAGACUGACGCUCAGGUGCGAAAGCGUGGGGAGCAAACAGG
rnacentral:rRNA from 1 species